rnacentral:ncRNA from 1 species
UUGCCCUUUGUAUGGUGGCGGCAGUGGAAACACCCGCGCGGUUACUCUUAAGACCGAGCAACACCUAAGCAGAGGGCGUUU